rnacentral:rRNA from 1 species
AUUGAACGCUGGCGGCAGGCCUAACACAUGCAAGUCGAGCGGGGGUAGCAAUACCCUAGCGGCGAACGGGUGAGGAAUGCUUGGGAAUCUGCCUGGUAGUGGGGGAUAACGUUCCGAAAGGAACGCUAAUACCGCAUACGUCCUACAGGAGAAAGGGGGGGAUCUUCGGACCUCUCGCUAUCAGAUGAGCCCAAGCGGGAUUAGCUAGUUGGUGAGGUAAAGGCUCACCAAGGCGACGAUCCCUAGCUGGUCUGAGAGGAUGAUCAGCCACACUGGAACUGAGACCCGGUCCAGACUCCUACGGGAGGCAGCAGUGGGGAAUAUUGGACAAUGGGCGAAAGCCUGAUUCAGCCAUGCCGCGUGUGUGAAGAAGGCCUUCGGGUUGUAAAGCACUUUAAGCGAGGAGGAAGGUUCGUCACCUAAUACGUGACGGAAUUGACGUUACUCGCAGAAUAAGCACCGGCUAACUCUGUGCCAGCCGCCGCCGUAAUAC